CAGCAGCCGCGGGAAUACGAAGGGGGCGAGCGUUGCUCGGAAUGACUGGGCGUAAAGGGCGCGUAGGUGGCGUGCACAGUCAGAUGUGAAAUUCCUGGGCUCAACCUGGGGGCUGCAUUUGAUACGUGCGUGCUAGAGUGUGGAAGAGGGUCGUGGAAUUCCCAGUGUAGAGGUGAAAUUCGUAGGUAUUAGGAAGAACACCGGUGGCGAAGGCGGCGACCUGGUCCGUUACUGACGCUGAGGCGCGAAAGCGUGGGGAGCAAACAGGAUUAGAUACCCGCGUAGUCCCUGUCUCUUAUAC
rnacentral:rRNA from 1 species